AUAAAUUAAAGUAAAUAAUAAAGGGCGUAUGGUGGAUGCCUAGGCUCUCAGAGGCGAAGAAGGACGUGAUAAGCUGCGAAAAGCUCCGUUUAGGUGCAAAUAACCUUUGAUGCGGAGAUCUCCGAAUGGGAUAACCCAAUAUGUUGAAGACAUAUUAUACCGUAAGGUAGGCAAACGCAGGGAACUGAAACAUCUAAGUACCUGCAGGAGAAGAAAACAAACGUGAUUCCCCCAGUAGCGGCGAGCGACCGGGGAAAAGCCCAAACCGUUAUUGUUUCGGCAUUAACGGGGUAGUAGGACUGCGACAUUGAUGAAAUAAAUGAAAUGGAACACCUUGGAAAAUGUGAUCACAGAGGGUGAUAAUCCCGUACAUGCAAGUUUAUGAAUCAUAGCAGACUCCUGAGUAAGUCGGGACACGUGUAAUCCUGACCGAAUCCGCCGGGACCAUCCGGCAAGGCUAAAUACUCCUGAGAGACCGAUAGUGAACCAGUACCGUGAGGGAAAGGUGAAAAGCACUUCGAACAGAAGAGUGAAAUAGUCCCUGAACCCAUACGCCUACAAGCUGUCGGAGCCGCUUCGUGCGGUGACGGCGUGCCUUUUGCAUAAUGAGCCUACGAGUUACUCAUCACCAGCGAGGUUAAGUACUUCAGGUACGUAAGCCGAAGCGAAAGCGAGUCUGAAUAGGGCGUCAAGUUGGUGGUGGUAGACGCGAAACCUUAGUGAUCUACCCAUGGGCAGGGUGAAGGUUUGGUAACACAAACUGGAGGCCCGAACCGGUAAACGUUGAAAAGUUUUCGGAUGACCUGUGGGUAGGGGUGAAAGGCCAAUCAAACUGGGAAAUAGCUCGUACUCUCCGAAAUGCAUUUAGGUGCAGCCUCUGUUGUUUUGUUCUAGAGGUAGAGCUACUGAUUGGAUGCGAGGGCUUCACCGCCUAUCAAAUCCGGCCAAACUCCGAAUGCUAGAACAUGAAGACAGGGAGUGAGCCAGCGGGUGCUAAGGUCCGUUGACGAAAGAGGGAGAACUCAGACCAUCAGCUAAGGUCCCCAAUUGUAUGCUAAGUUGGAAUUAAAACGGGGUGGGACUGCUUAGACAGCUAGGAUGUUGGCUUGGAAGCAGCCAUUCAUUUAAAGAGUGCGUAACAGCUCACUAGUCGAGCGGUCCUGCAUGGAUAAUACGCGGGCAUAAGCAUAUAACCGAAGCUAUGGGAUUGUAGAUGAUACAAUCGGUAGGAGAGCAUUCCAUUCAGCGUAGAAGCAGUACCGUGAGGUAUUGUGGAGCGGAUGGAAAAGCAAAUGUAGGCAUAAGUAACGAUAAUGCGGGUGAGAACCCCGCACGCCGAAAGAUCAAGGAUUCCCCGGCAAUGUCAAUCAUCCGGGGGUAAGUCGGAUCCUAAGGGUAAGCCGAGUGGCGAUCCCGAUGGCAAACAGGUUAAUAUUCCUGUACUGAUCAUAACUGCGAUGCAGCGACGCAGAGGUGACACUGCUGCGUACUGACGGAAUAGUACGUUGAAACCCGUAUUCUUUGAUACCGGUAGUGAAGCACGCCGGUAGAGAUGAAAGGUGAUAGUACCGCAAUGCUUCGGUUGCGCGGAUAACGCAGGUAAGCUGACUGCCAAGAAAACCUGCUAAGCUUCAGGUAAUGAUCAUCCGUACUGUAAACGGACACACGUGAUCAGGUAGAAAAUACUAAGGCGCUCGAGAGAUUCAUGGUUAAGGAACUAGGCAAAAUGGUCCUGUAACUUCGGGAUAAAGGACGCUCUUGUGAAAGAGCCGCAGAUAAUAGGCCCAGGCGACUGUUUACCAAAAACACAUGGCUAUGCUAAUUCGCAAGAAGAUGUAUAUGGCCUGACACCUGCCCGGUGCCGGAAGGUUAAGAGGAGAGCUCAGAGGCAACUCGAAGGUUUGAAUUGAAGCCCCGGUAAACGGCGGCCGUAACUAUAACGGUCCUAAGGUAGCGAAAUUCCUUGUCGGGU
rnacentral:rRNA from 1 species